CGGUAACCACCCCAAUCUCCUCCACGGACCUAUUCGGCCCUGCGAGCUCCCCCCUCUUCGUCUCCGCCUCGAUCUCGCCUCUCCAACCCUAAUCCGACCGCGAAGAUCCAUUUGCCGCCCUCAAUUUCUGUCCCCAUUCCGCUCCGAUUUCUCGAGAACCCCAUCUCAGUUUGAGGUAUGCCGGAUCCCGCUCUUCCGAUCCGCUGCUUCCUUGGGGGUUUCGAUCUUUCAUUCCUUUUUUGUCAUAUUACUCUUGUUCUAGGGUAAGAGUCGCGUUCCUCUUUCGUCUGCAUCCCAUCGGGAUUCGUGGGGAGUCAGCACCCCUUAUUCUUUGUCUCUCGACGCGGUUUAUCGCCUUGGGUUCGCAGUGAUUGUUGUUAGGUGGAGGAUUAGGGUUUUUUGGCAUGACCUCGAUGGAGAAGGAGAGGAUCGCGGUGAAGAAGAUUAAAGGAAAUGGAGUCUUAGCUAUGAAAAAGGCUGAUGAAUCGAUUAGGGAGAAAAAGCGGAGAUUGAUUUUGAGUGAUUCCGAGUCGGACUCGGAUGAUUUUUUGGUUUCUUCAAUUCAGGCGGAUCGCGGAGGGGCUCAAAAUGGAGACAUCUCGGUCCGUGGUGAAGGCAAUGAGGUGGAUCCGAUGAAGGAAAAGGCGGACGUGGAGAACAGAAAAAAAGAUUUGAGGUCAGAUGUCGUAAAACAAAAUGAAGAUGUCGCAGUUACUGAUAAGAAAGGAGUUGCUGAGGCAGAGCUCGCCAGAAAGAGCAUGCGAGAAUCAGCCGAUGCUGAGUUUCCUUCAACAAAAUUGAAAGAGUCUUGGGAACUAGAAAGAAGGAAACGAUCUCUAAUUGGAGGUAGCGAAGUCAAAACUUCUAUUUCACACACUGUGGAUGAUGAAGAAAGAAUAAAUGAAGACGAAGAUGUUGGUUCUAAAACCCUAAUCCCUGCACAAAGGAAGAAGGGUAGGGUGAUAGAGAACCAAGCACUGUCAAAUUCACAAAAAAAUGGAAAGCUGGCAACUGAAAAGCUCAAGUUGAUAGAAUCAUCAGACAACGAGAGACUUCAUAUGAUGGAUAGAAGAAGCAAUGCUGCUGGCGACAGGCGAGCAAAGAUUGGGAUUUCACGAUCCAAAGAUGGGAUACUGAUGGAGGAAAGGAAAGCUGGUGUCUUGAGAGUUCUACCAAGUAACAAGAAAGUAGAUGGGCUUGAGAACCAUUCGAAAAGGAAAUACGAGGACAUCUCUAAAGACAUAAACGCAAGUAGUGUUGCUACCUAUGGCGCAGUAAAACAACCAUCUCUUUCCCAUUGUAGAAGGUUUGAUGGUAAUUCAAGCCUAGGGGCUACAGUCAGUAGAAAUGAAACGAGGAAGCCAAAAAAAGACGUCCUUGAAAAAAGUGAAUUCAGUGAGCCAGAAACAGAACAGAAGAUUGUUUCUCCUAAAAGAGAAACCAAGGAUAGAACUGAUAUUUCAAAAAGCGAGACUGGUUUGAGAACAAAGAGCAGCUGCAGGGCAGGAACUUCUUUUAAGACAAAACAAUUUUCCAAGGAUGCAACUGUAUCUCGCAGUACUGAGAAGCAGAAACUUAGAGAUCAGAUAAAAGGCAUACUUCUUAAUGCUGGUUGGACAAUAGAUCUGAGACCGAGAAGAGGCAGAAAGUACGAGGAUUCUGUUUACAUACCUCCUGAAGGCCAUGGUGGUUAUUGGUCAAUCACAAAAGCUUAUGCAGUGUAUCAGGAAAGACUAAACAGAAAGGGUAAUGUGGAAGGUGAGAUCUCCCGUGGUGGAAACUCUAGAACAUCUUCUACAUGUAACUCAAUUGUACCUCUGGAGUCCCUUGAUUUACUGAAGAGAGUUGUUGUUAACAAGAGAAGAAGGGCAGAAGAGUCAGAAGAAGAUGAAAAAAACAAAAGGAACAAGGUGAAGAGAAAAUAUGACAAGAGACAUUUUAUAGAUCAGGAUACAAAGGGUAAGCUGGCUUCGAACUCAAUGUUUUCUGUUAGUACCACAUCUCGCAAGAAUCUUCACCAACGGAGAAGCAAACAGAGAGGGCGUGCCCUGUUGGUUCGUGGUAGUAACCAGGAAUCAGAAGCUGACGAUGAUGAUUAUGUACCAUAUGUCUGGAAAAGGACAGUUCUUUCAUGGAUGAUAGAUAUGGGUGUCUUGCCUAUAAAUGGAAAAGUGAAGUAUAUGAACCAGCUAAAGACAAAAACAAAGUUGAAAGGCCAAAUAACUCGGCAAGGAAUUAAUUGUAGCUGUUGCAGUAAAAGUUUUCCUGUAUCCAAGUUUGAGCUUCAUGCUGGUAGCAGAGUUGUGCAGCUGCAGCCGAUGCAAAAUAUAUUUUUGGAGGAUGGAGAAACAUCCCUGUUCAAUUGUCAGAUUGAGGCAUGGAAAAAGCAGGAUGAAUCUGAAAGGAGAGGAUUCUACACUAUCGAUGUAACAGGUGAUGAUCCCAAUGAUGAUACUUGUGGUAUCUGCAGUGAUGGUGGGUCCUUGAUCUGUUGUGAUGGUUGCCCGUCAACAUUUCAUCUGAGUUGUUUGGGCAUUGAGAAGCUUCCUCCUGGAGAUUGGCACUGUACAAACUGCUGUUGCAGGUAUUGUGGGAGGAUCUCUACUGAUCCCAGUGGAGAAUCUGAUGCAACAGUUUCCUUAAUUCUUUCUUGCCACCAGUGUGAGGCAAAAUACCAUGAAGAUUGCAUUCCCGACAAAGAAUCUAUUUCUGCCACUUCCAAGAAGUCAACAAUUUCUUUUUGUGGUCAAAGUUGUAGAAAGAUUUUCAGAGGAUUACAGAAGAUUCUUGGGACUAAAAAUGAGAUUGAAGCAGGAUUCUCAUGGAGUAUUGUUAGACGUUUUGACGAGGAUUCCUCUAUAUCCCCAAUAAGGUCACGCCAGAUGGUUGAAUGCAAUUCAAUGAUUGCUGUUUCCCUUGCAGUUAUGGAUGAGUGCUUUCUUCCAAUUGUUGACCAGAGAAGUGGCAUUAACCUUAUUCAUAAUGUUGUGUACAAUUGUGGAUCAAAUUUCAGUAGGUUGAACUAUAGAGGCUUUUACACUUUUAUUUUGGAACGAAAGGAUGAAAUUAUUUCUGUAGCAUCAGUCAGAAUUCAUGGAACCAGGCUUGCAGAAAUGCCUUUCAUUGGGACAAGAAAUAUGUAUAGACGACAAGGCAUGUGCCGUCGUCUUCUUAGUGGAAUUGAAUCUGCUCUCUCUUCUCUUAAUGUUGAAAAGCUGAUUAUACCUGCAAUUUCUGAAUUAAAAGACACAUGGAUUAAUGCUUUUGGCUUCAAGCCUCUCGAGCCUUCUGAAAAAUUAGAAGUUAGGUCCAUAAACAUAUUGGUUUUUCCUGGUACCGGUUCAUUACAGAAGCCUCUUCUGAAAAAUCAUUCUUCUAAAUAUUAUAAUAGUCCUACUGAUGGAGUUGGAGUGUUUGAACAUGUCAUCAAGCAUCAUUAUGAGACAAAGGCAGCUUGUGAUUCUUCUGAUCUCUCUGCUGCUGAAGCGAACCUCCCAAACUUGGUUAAGACCAUGAAUGAUUGCAGAAAUAAAGCCGAAUAUGAAGGAGAGAAUCUUUUACCUUCUAGAAUUUCAGAUGAGUCUGCAGAUUCUAAUAUCAGAUAUUCACUGAAGAAUGCUGAUGUUGUGUGCACUAACACUUCUCUUGAGGAAUGUUCAACAAGUUCUCAUGAUGAAGAUAAAUCUCAGAUGGAUCUCACAUCUGAUAAGAAAACUGGGCUCAUUGGCAUUACAUCAGAUAAUAUGGAGAAAAAAUGAUAGCAGUUGAAUGUGUCCAUCUCCCAGCAAGAAGGUGACAUUUUUUCCAAGCAAACCCCUCUGCUUGCCAAAGUCCAGGAUAAUCUUUACCUAGUAUACUUCACACUUAGUGGAAGAUUGUGCAACAUACAUGCGAGUAUCUUUGUGGUUGCCAAUAUUUGUACCUCCACGUUUAAUAAUGAGGUUAGAGAGAGCAUUGAACCUCCCAUAUGUUUCUUGGAAUCCAUCAUUACUUUGGUUAAGAAACUAAUUGAAUCAGCAGAAAUUAACUUUGAAUCAGCAGAAAUUAACUUUGAAACUCUGCCCAGCACCGUAAUCCUACUUAUCGUGGAUCUACUUUUGAUAUAAUAUGUAAUGAGAAGUUUCAGCAAUCUAAUAUGUGAUGAGAAAUUUCAUGCUGAAUACUCAGAUGUUAUAUUCAUGCUCAGCAAAGAACCAAUGCAGAGCAUCCAUAAGGUGAAAGCUGAAGAUGCUGUUCUGGACCCUGAAUUUUCUUCAAAUGGUGAGGUUUCUGAAUCUUGUACUUUUGAGGUCAUCAGUAGGUAUAAUAGCGAUGAUGCUGUGAAAGAAUUUUGUAUUCCAUACUCAUGUGGUACAUUUCUCAAUACUAAUGAAAACUCAAAAAGUUUUCCGUACAACAAAAUUGAUGUCUGAUAUAUUCACUAAAUAACGGUACUGGUGCAAGUGAGUAAAACUUAUCUUCCACUAAGUGUUGUAAGAUACAAAAUCCGAGCGCACAGGUAUAGCUUGCUCUCGCAAGUAGAUUCAGAUACAUAUGAUGUCUGCCUUAAUUUAAAGCCAUCCAAUGUGGUUCCUGAUGUUGCUUUGGCUAAGUCCCGCCAUGCUAAUGUUGCAAAUACUUCUUAUAGUGGAAAAUAUGAGGCGACUUGCUGGACAUAUUCUUGAUUUUUGUUCAUGCACUGUUCAUGAUGCUUCUGAUGUUCUUUGAUUUUAAAGAGGUUUGAUAAUGCUCCUGAAUCUUCUUCAUAGUGCACCCUGUGGGAAGUCCAAUGUAUCUGUUAUAGGGAUGUAUUUGCUUGGGGAAGAUUGAAAGGUUGUGGAGAUACCAGUUGCCACCUCUGAUUUGCAUUUUUGAACGUGGUCAACAUCAUGGAGGUUGUUGAACUUCAUAAUGUUUGAUGUUCUCUAGAAAAAUGCUCAGUAUUGAUCGUACGUUGGGCUGAGCGUGCUGAUCGAUAAUUUGGUGCUAGCACUUCUGGAUGGUGCAAUAUUGAGUUUGUACCAGAAGUACAAAAGGAAGAAUGAUAUUAGCUUAACUUUGGGCGCUCAAUAUUGCCAAUGCAAUUUUUUGACACAUGGAUUAUUGACUAUUACUAGCGGCAUAUUCAGGCGGAUGAUGAAGCUCCAUGUAUUGCUGGCUGGAAGAGGCUUCUCGUGUAGGGAUGAUGAAGCUCCAUGUAUUGCUGGCUGGAAGAGGCUUCUCGUGUAGGGAUGA